rnacentral:lncRNA from 1 species
GUUCAAUUAUGAUUUCUAUGAAAAUUCCUUUCCAUCAAUUACACUGUUGUGGCCAUAGACUCUUGGAUUUAGCCUCUCAAAUUUCAUAGGACUACUCUUUUCUAUCAAGAUUGAUAGAUCCUAUCUUGAUACGUAUCCCACUUCUAUAGUGGACUAACUGUCCCCAAUAUCUACUACAAGGGCUCAUUAAGAUCCAUGUUAAUGUGUCACUCAAACUCUAGUAGCCUCACUACGAGCAGUCGUACCAUU